rnacentral:rRNA from 1 species
GACGAACGCUGGCGGCGUGCCUAAUACAUGCAAGUCGAACGAGAGCGACCGGUGCUUGCACUGGUCAAUCUAGUGGCGAACGGGUGAGUAACACGUGGGUAACCUGCUCAUCAGAGGGGGAUAACAUCCGGAAACGGAUGCUAAAACCGCAUAGGUCUUCGAGCCGCAUGGCUUGAAGAGGAAAAGAGGCGCAAGCUUCUGCUGAUGGAUGGACCCGCGGUGCAUUAGCUAGUUGGUGAGGUAACGGCUCACCAAGGCCGUGAUGCAUAGCCGACCUGAGAGGGUGAUCGGCAACAUUGGGACUGAGACACGGCCCAAACUCCUACGGGAGGCAGCAGUAGGGAAUCUUCCGCAAUGGACGCAAGUCUGACGGAGCAACGCCGCGUGAGUGAAGAAGGUUUUCGGAUCGUAAAACUCUGUUGUUAGAGAAGAACAAGUGCUAGAGUAACUGUUAGCGCCUUGACGGUAUCUAACCAGAAAGCCACGGCUAACUACGUG